rnacentral:rRNA from 1 species
GAUGAACGCUGGCGGCGUGCCUAAUACAUGCAAGUCGAGCGAACGGACGAGAAGCUUGCUUCUCUGAUGUUAGCGGCGGACGGGUGAGUAACACGUGGAUAACCUACCUAUAAGACUGGGAUAACUUCGGGAAACCGGAGCUAAUACCGGAUAAUAUUUUGAACCGCAUGGUUCAAAAGUGAAAGACGGUCUUGCUGUCACUUAUAGAUGGAUCCGCGCUGCAUUAGCUAGUUGGUAAGGUAACGGCUUACCAAGGCAACGAUGCAUAGCCGACCUGAGAGGGUGAUCGGCCACACUGGAACUGAGACACGGUCCAGACUCCUACGGGAGGCAGCAGUAGGGAAUCUUCCGCAAUGGGCGAAAGCCUGACGGAGCAACGCCGCGUGAGUGAUGAAGGUCUUCGGAUCGUAAAACUCUGUUAUUAGGGAAGAACAUAUGUGUAAGUAACUGUGCACAUCUUGACGGUACCUAAUCAGAAAGCCACGGCUAACUACGUGCCAGCAGCCGCGGUAAUACGUAGGUGGCGAGCGUUAUCCGGAAUUAUUGGGCCGUAAAGCGCGCGUAGGCGGUUUUUUAAGUCUGAUGUGAAAGCCCACGGCUCAACCGUGGAGGGUCAUUGGAAACUGGAAAACUUGAGUGCAGAAGAGGAAAGUGGAAUUCCAUGUGUAGCGGUGAAAUGCGCAGAGAUAUGGAGGAACACCAGUGGCGAAGGCGACUCUCUGGUCUGUAACUGACGCUGAUGUGCGAAAGCGUGGGGAUCAAACAGGAUUAGAUACCCUGGUAGUCCACGCCGUAAACGAUGAGUGCUAAGUGUUAGGGGGUUUCCGCCCCUUAGUGCUGCAGCUAACGCAUUAAGCACUCCGCCUGGGGAGUACGACCGCAAGGUUGAAACUCAAAGGAAUUGACGGGGACCCGCACAAGCGGUGGAGCAUGUGGUUUAAUUCGAAGCAACGCGAAGAACCUUACCAAAUCUUGACAUCCUUUGACAACUCUAGAGAUAGAGCCUUCCCCUUCGGGGGACAAAGUGACAGGUGGUGCAUGGUUGUCGUCAGCUCGUGUCGUGAGAUGUUGGGUUAAGUCCCGCAACGAGCGCAACCCUUAAGCUUAGUUGCCAUCAUUAAGUUGGGCACUCUAAGUUGACUGCCGGUGACAAACCGGAGGAAGGUGGGGAUGACGUCAAAUCAUCAUGCCCCUUAUGAUUUGGGCUACACACGUGCUACAAUGGACAAUACAAAGGGCAGCGAAACCGCGAGGUCAAGCAAAUCCCAUAAAGUUGUUCUCAGUUCGGAUUGUAGUCUGCAACUCGACUACAUGAAGCUGGAAUCGCUAGCAAUCGUAGAUCAGCAUGCUACGGUGAAUACGUUCCCGGGUCU